AGGGGAUUCGCCAAGUUGGUUAAGGCACUGGAUUUUGAUUCCAGCAUGCGGAGGUUCGAGUCCUCCAUCCCCUGCCA
rnacentral:tRNA from 2 species